rnacentral:rRNA from 1 species
GCAAGUCGAGCGGAAACGAGUUAACUGAACCUUCGGGGAACGUUAACGGCGUCGAGCGGCGGACGGGUGAGUAAUGCCUGGGAAAUUGCCCUGAUGUGGGGGAUAACCAUUGGAAACGAUGGCUAAUACCGCAUAAUAGCUUCGGCUCAAAGAGGGGGACCUUCGGGCCUCUCGCGUCAGGAUAUGCCCAGGUGGGAUUAGCUAGUUGGUGAGGUAAGGGCUCACCAAGGCGACGAUCCCUAGCUGGUCUGAGAGGAUGAUCAGCCACACUGGAACUGAGACACGGUCCAGACUCCUACGGGAGGCAGCAGUGGGGAAUAUUGCACAAUGGGCGCAAGCCUGAUGCAGCCAUGCCGCGUGUAUGAAGAAGGCCUUCGGGUUGUAAAGUACUUUCAGCAGUGAGGAAGGU